GUUUGCACACUGAUCUGUCUGUCAAUUAUUUUCAUCUAUUAGUUGGUUUUUUUGUUUUUUUUAACGGUAGAAGAUGAAGAGGCAAAGCAGAGGAUCGAAAAAUAGCAACUGAAUGAAGACAUAAUUCUUCCUGCAGAUUUUGAGUACACAUUGUUGCAUCUCUGCAUGAGACAAUGUUUGGUUUCUCCUCUGGAGAGGUGCUGCUACUUUUGGGAGCAACCGUUGCUGUUAUUGGGCCAAAAGAUGUACCGAGGAUUGCUAAAGCGGCUGGCAGGUUAGCUGGUAAAGUAGUAGGCUAUGUCCAAAGUGGUCGAGGACAGAUGGAAACUGUCUUGCAUCAAUCUCAAGCUACUCAGGUCCAUAGUCCUCUAUUUGCAAAACACUUUUUUUUCAUGCUUUCUUUUCUGAG